UGUGGCUCAGUGGUAGAGCACUUGCCUCUCAUGCAUGAGACCCUGGGUUCGAUCGAUCCUCAGCA
rnacentral:tRNA from 1 species